CUAUUUUUCUUAAUAUUUAGAAAAAUGAAAUCUAAACAAACAAACAAAAGUAUUUAGUGAAAAUAUAUGCCCAUCAAGAAAAUUUUAUAAAGGUUAUACUCCAAGCCAGGAAAGGAAAGGGAGAGGGAAAAGAGAAAGGGAGAACGUGAGAGAAAAGAAAAGGGAAAGGGAGAAAGUCUGAAAUUCAAGGACGAUAUCUGCAAACACAAGAGUAAAAAAAUGCCAACUGAAAAUAGGAUAACGCUAUCUAAAUUGUGUUUUAAAAUGGCAAAACCAAUGUUAGGUUGUAUUUAGAUUGGUCAUAGUUACUUGGAUUGUCCAAGAAAUAUGUGGAUUAACUGUGAAGUUGAAGUACUACUAUAUUUGGGGCUCCAGUUCAAGGAUAACUGUCAACAGAUUAUAAUGUACAUCUUCAAAACAAAGUGAGGCUGAUUGCGUCAGGAUUCAAAUCCAGAAUUCCAAGUUCCCCAAACUAUUCCCAAAA